GUCCACGCCCUAACGAUGUCAACUGGUUGUUGGGUCUCUUCUGACUCAGUAACGAAGCUAACGCGUGAAGUUGACCGCCUGGGGAGUACGGCCGCAAGGUUGAACUCAAAGGAAUUGACGGGACCCGCACAAGCGGUGGAUGAUGUGGUUUAAUUCGAUGCAACGCGAAACCUUACCCACCUUUGACAUGUACGGAAUUCGCCAGAGAUGGCUUAGUGCUCGAAAGAGAGCCGUAACACAGGUGCUGCAUGGCUGUCGU
rnacentral:rRNA from 1 species